rnacentral:rRNA from 1 species
CGAAAGCCUGACGCAGCGACGCCGCGUGGGGGAAGAAGGCCUUCGGGUUGUAAACCUCUUUCAGCAGGGACGAAGCCACUCGGGUGAAUAGCCCAGAGGGUGACGGUACCUGCAGAAGAAGCCCCGGCUAACUACGUGCCAGCAGCCGCGGUAAUACGUAGGGGGCAAGCGUUGUCCGGAUUUAUUGGGCGUAAAGAGCGUGUAGGCGGCCAGACAGGUCCGUUGUGAAAACUAGAGGCUUAACCUCUAGACGUCGAUGGAAACCGUUUGGCUAGAGUCCGGAAGAGGAGAAUGGAAUUCCUGGUGUAGCGGUGAAAUGCGCAGAUAUCAGGAAGAACACCCGUGGCUAAGGCGGUUCUCUAGUACGGUACUGACGCUGAGACGCGAAAGCGUGGGGAGCGAACAGGAUUAGAUACCCUGGUAGUCCACGCCGUAAACGAUGGGCACUAGGUGUCGGGGGUAUCCACUCCCUCGGUGCCGCCGCUAACGCAUUAAGUGUCCCGCCUGGGAAGUACGGUCGCAAGAUUA